GUAGGUAUAGCUCAAUGGUAGAGUGAAUGCUUAGCAUGCAAGCAUGCAUGAGGUCCUGGGUUCAAUCCCCAGUACCUCCA
rnacentral:tRNA from 1 species